rnacentral:lncRNA from 1 species
GGAUCCAAGUUUCUGAAAACAUACAUUCUUGUCUUCUCCAUCAUUGCAAACAAAUCAGGAUUAUCUUUGGCCCACUUCAUAUCCCAGACAUCUCUUCGUUCCAAUUUUAACAACUCUCCAACUACUUGCUGUCCCGUACUGUCCGUUACUCGAGCAUCCAAGUCAAAGAAAGUCAGAACUCCUGAGAUGUCUAUGAUAGCAAGACGG